AUAUAAAUUUAACUAUAUAAAUAUA
rnacentral:tRNA from 1 species